CGUGAUGUUCUUAAGAUUUUUGGAGAGUAUAGUCUUACUGACUUUAUUUGGCCUUUGAAGAAGCUUAAAGUUGGGAAAUAUGAAAAGAGAAUUGAUGAAAUUUUUAAUAAGUAUGAUCCUAUCAUUGAAAAGGUCAUCAAAAAACGACAAGAGAUUAGGAAAAAAAGAAAGGAGAGAAAUGGAGAACUUGAAGAGGGGGAGGAGAGUGUAGUUUUUCUGGAUACUUUGCUUCAAUAUGCUGAGGAUGAGACCAUGGAAAUCAAAAUAACCAAGGAACAAAUCAAGGGUCUUGUUGUGGUAAGUUUCUUUUCUUCAAUUCUAAUUGCUUUGUUUCAUAUUUUAGAUUUUAAAUGAGAUUAGAUUGGUUGAGUCAAUUAUACUAUAGCAAGUAGAAACUAUACCAAACUAAAUUAUUUCGUAUGCAGGACUUCUUCUCUGCAGGGACAGACUCGACUGCUGUGGCGACAGAUUGGUGUUUAUCAGAGCUGAUCAACAACCCAAGGGUGAUGAAGAAAGCUCGAGAGGAGGUUGACUCUGUUGUUGGAAAAGAUAGACUCAUUGAUGAAUCAGAUAUUCAAAAUCUUCCUUACAUUAGAGCCAUUGUGAAAGAGACAUUCCGCAUGCACCCACCACUACCUGUGGUCAAGAGAAAAUGUACGCAAGAAUGUGAGAUCAAUGGGUAUGUGAUCCCAGAGGGAGCAUUGAUACUUUUUAAUGUUUGGGCAGUAGGAAGAGAUCAGAAAUAUUGGGAAAGGCCAUUGGAAUUUCGUCCUGAGAGGUUCUUAGAAAAUGCAGGUUCAAUUGAUCUUAGGGGUCAGCAUUUCCAACUUCUACCAUUUGGGUCUGGAAGGAGAAUGUGCCCUGGAGUCAAUUUGGCUACUGCUGGAAUGGCCACACUUCUUGCAUCUGUUAUCCAGUGCUUUGAUCUCCAGGUACUCGGGCCACAUGGACAAAUACUGAAAGGGGAUGAUGCUAAGGUUAGCAUGGAAGAAAGACCAGGUCUCACUGUUCCAAGGGCACAUAAUCUCAUGUGCGUUCCACUUGAAAGACCCGGUGUCGCUGCUAAACUUCUUUCCUUCUAAAACAUACUGAACAACACAGAAUGUUGCAGUGGUGAAUCUUUGCCACAUGGGUUCAAAGACAUACAUAUAUUAUACAUAUUAUGUCAACUAGUCUCUCUUUGGUAGUAUAAUAGUAUAUGUAAUUUUCUUCCUUUCCUGUUGUUUUAAUCACAAAACAAGUGUUGUAACUGCAUACAAAAUUUAUAAAUUUUAUUGGCAUAUCCAUUAAUAUUAAUAUUAUUGCACUAUUUUCUUAUCUAUCCUAAUUUGUGGUAACUCUAAAUUAAGAUUAACAAAUUUGUGUUGACAACUAAGUUGCUAGUGUACUUGCUAAUGAAAAAGAGAAUGAACUUUUGUGUAUACCUUCAACUUCAUUUAAUAAUAUUAUAAUAGUAUCAUGAUAAGAUAAGCCGCAUAAAAAUUGAAACUUAUCUAAGAAUUUUUUACCUAAUAUCAAAAGAUAUUCUAUGACUGCAUAACUCACCUUCUAUUAAUCUUUUUGUCAAUCUUUUGAUAACUAAAUGCAAAGGUCUUCAUUAAGCACGUAAUGCACUAGACUAAAUUCUUAAAAGAUCUCUUUCAUGAAUACAACGCAAGUAACUAGUAAAACAUUUUGUUAACUACAUUUUUAUAGAAUGUUUAUCUAUAUUAAAUGUUUUCCAGAACACCUUCAGAAUAUUAACUAUCAAUGCCUUAACCCUAAGUAUUUUUUUCCUUUCUCAACAAAAUAGUAUCACCUAAAGUUAUAUUGAAGGUUUCAGUAUAUGAUAUGGUAAAUAAACUAUUCAUCUUAGAUGUUACUUUCUACAUCCAGAAAGGAGAUGAUCAAGUAUACCUACCUAUUCAGAACAAGAUAUACAUAGCUCUAUUAAGAAAACUUCAACAGAUUCCUCAUCUAACAAACCAUUCACUUCAUACAAGAUAGAUCUUACAUGGGCAACUUCAUCAUUUAGAUCUUUGUAAUUGAAGUCGAAAAUUAAUUUAGUAGAAAGAUUAAGAGGAUUCAUAGAGAUAGAGGAACGAGUAUGAUUUUUAUAAAUUGCAAGUAAUUAUACAUGAAACUAUUGCAUCAUAUUCGCUUGAAAUUAAUGGAAAAGCUGAAAAAAAGAAUAGGAAACUUUCUGAAUUAGUUUGUUAGAGCAUCUCCAACGGUAGUUAAAUGAGUUCGUCCGUCAGCGUGUAGUUACGUAAAAUUCGGUUUUUGCGAGUUCACUGUUGGAGUUGUGUCAACCUGUCAUCGUGGUGCUCUAAGUAAAGAACGGUACUUUGAUCAUUUAAUAAAAAUAAAAUUAUAAUCGUUACCUUUUUUUUUAUUAAUUUAUUAAUAAUAAUAAAUUUAUGACGGUUAGUGGACCUUAUUUAAUGAACCCAUGUUGAGUUUACAGUUUGAGUAAAAAAUAAAUGAGUUCCUUUAACAUGACGUGGCACAGUAGACCCUACUUAAUGAACCCAUGUUGAGGUCACCGUUGGAGAUGCUCUUAUGUUUUGAAUCGAAUUCCUAAAUCUAAAAACAAAACAUAUCUUUAUGAGAUUAAAAAAAAAAAUUGAACUUGUGUUAUUUUCGAACUUGGGAUCAUAGAGUCAAAUGAUGUUAACUUCUAUGAAAAAAUAUUAUCUUUCAAAUCGAGAAAGUGGGGGCAGCGAACCAAGUCACGUUUAUGUGAUGAGGAGCACUGAAAGCAACAAAUAAGGCAAAACAUAACCACGAAUAAGUAAGAAAGCCAAAAUUGAUAAAGAUUAAGGACCCGAUUAUACAACAUAUACCUUAGAAGAGGAUCUUGCAAAUCCUCAUAAACGAUGAGAUGGUUUCUCUAGAGUCUAACAGGACCUGACAUUUCGUAGGCUUGCCUCCUGAUUGCUAACCGAUAGGUUUUAAAUGGAUUUUGAAAAAGAAACUAAAAUCCAAUGGAACUUUUGAUAAAUACAAGGCUCUUCUUGUAGCAAAAAAUUUUAGACAAAGAGAAAAUAUUGAUUUGUUCAACACUUUUUCACCGGUUACUAGAAUUACAUCCAUUAGAGUACCCAUUUCACUAGUUGUUAUUCAUAACUUAUUGAUACACCAAAUGGAUAUCAAAACAAUUUUUUAAAUGUGAAUUGGAAAAAGAAAUCUAUAUCGAACAACCUAAAGGUUUUGUGAUUCAUGGACAAGAAAACAAGGUCUGUUAGAUAAAUCUAUGUAUGGUCUUAAACAAGCUCCUAAACAAUGAUAUGAAAAUUUUAAUAACUUGAUUAUAUUUAAUGAGUUUAAAGUGAAUGAAAGUGACAAAUAUAUUUAUUACAAAUUUGAAAAUCGCAUUUGCAUUAUCAUAUGUCUCUAUGUAGAAGACCAACUCAUAUCUGGUUCAAACAUUCAUGUUGUAAAUAUUAUGAAAUCAUUGUUGUGUAACAACUUUGAUAUGAAAUACCUCGGAGAAAUGAGUGUAAUCUUUGGAAUCAACAUUACUAGGUCAGAAAAGGAAAUUUCUUUGGAUCAAUCUCACUUUGUUGAAAAGAUCCUAAAGAAAUACAAAUAUUUUGAUUGUAAACCUGCUUGCACACCAUAUGAUUCGAGUAUGAAAUUUUUCAAAAACACAGAUGAAUGUGUUAAACAAACUGAAUAUGCGAGCAUCAUUGGCAGUCUCAGGUAUGCCAGUAACUCUAUUAUACCUGACAUUGCCUACGUUGUGGGACUAUUGUGCAGGUUUACUAGUAUACCUAAUAUGGAGUAUUGACACGCUAUCGAAAGAGUCAUAGAAUACCUUAAAAGGAUCAUGUGUCUUGGAUUACAAUAUCAAAGAUUUUUUGUCGUCCAAAACAAUCAGUAGCUAUAUUUUUAGUAUAGUCGAUGGUGCUAUAUCUUGGAAAUCGAAGAAAUAUUGGCUCGGUCCACUAUGAAUUCUAAAAUAAUAGCCCUAACUAUUGCCAGUGAAGAAGCAAAUUGGUUGAGAUGAUUGCUAGAUGAGAUUCUUUUAUGGAAAAAACAUGAUUGCUAGAUUAGAUCCCUUUAUGGAAAAAAAUCUAUGCAAGUUGUGUUGAUCCACUGAGGAGUGCACUAUGUUUGAAUAGCACUAGCAAACAACUUGGUUACCAAUAGUUUAGGAUUAAAUUGGUAUUAAAUUCUUACUAAUGACUACCUUGUAAAGAUUGUUCAAACUGACAGGGUAAUUAACAUGGUAUGCGUGAUGAUGAUGUUUAAGAAUUUGUAAAUUAAUAAUAUAUUGAGGCUUCACGGUUCAUUAUUGUAUUGUGUGGGUUAAGCACAUUUUGGCGAAUGUUAUAGUUGGUUUCAAAAUUUCAGAUGUAUGCACGGUAAGUGUUUGAUAGAAAUGCAAAAUGGUGAUAAAAGAGGGUUCUAAUACAUUGUGGGAAAUAGGAAUGAAUACACAGAAAAUGUGAAACCAUUGAAAGCGAACCUUCACAUUUGUUGGAUUCCAUUGCGAUCCAGGACGCGUGUUGUUAUCAUUAUGCACGGCUGGAGGGGGAAUCUACGAGGGUGGUAGAGGACGUCGCCGCCGAGGACGGAUAGAUCUUCUUGAUUUGGAUUUGUCGAGGCUGUGAAUUGUGAUAGUCGAAUUUGGAUGCUGUGUUUCUCUUAGAUGCGGUUUAUACACUAUGAUUAUUUUCAUAUAUAUCAUCGGUGCAAAAAG
rnacentral:lncRNA from 1 species